AGAGUUUGAUCCUGGCUCAGGAUGAACGCUGGCGGCGUGCCUAAUACAUGCAAGUCGAGCGAACGGACGAGAAGCUUGCUUCUCUGAUGUUAGCGGCGGACGGGUGAGUAACACGUGGAUAACCUACCUAUAAGACUGGGAUAACUUCGGGAAACCGGAGCUAAUACCGGAUAAUAUUUUGAACCGCAUGGUUCAAAAGUGAAAGACGGUCUUGCUGUCACUUAUAGAUGGAUCCGCGCUGCAUUAGCUAGUUGGUAAGGUAACGGCUUACCAAGGCAACGAUGCAUAGCCGACCUGAGAGGGUGAUCGGCCACACUGGAACUGAGACACGGUCCAGACUCCUACGGGAGGCAGCAGUAGGGAAUCUUCCGCAAUGGGCGAAAGCCUGACGGAGCAACGCCGCGUGAGUGAUGAAGGUCUUCGGAUCGUAAAACUCUGUUAUUAGGGAAGAACAUAUGUGUAAGUAACUGUGCACAUCUUGACGGUACCUAAUCAGAAAGCCACGGCUAACUACGUGCCAGCAGCCGCGGUAAUACGUAGGUGGCAAGCGUUAUCCGGAAUUAUUGGGCGUAAAGCGCGCGUAGGCGGUUUUUUAAGUCUGAUGUGAAAGCCCACGGCUCAACCGUGGAGGGUCAUUGGAAACUGGAAAACUUGAGUGCAGAAGAGGAAAGUGGAAUUCCAUGUGUAGCGGUGAAAUGCGCAGAGAUAUGGAGGAACACCAGUGGCGAAGGCGACUUUCUGGUCUGUAACUGACGCUGAUGUGCGAAAGCGUGGGGAUCAAACAGGAUUAGAUACCCUGGUAGUCCACGCCGUAAACGAUGAGUGCUAAGUGUUAGGGGGUUUCCGCCCCUUAGUGCUGCAGCUAACGCAUUAAGCACUCCGCCUGGGGAGUACGACCGCAAGGUUGAAACUCAAAGGAAUUGACGGGGACCCGCACAAGCGGUGGAGCAUGUGGUUUAAUUCGAAGCAACGCGAAGAACCUUACCAAAUCUUGACAUCCUUUGACAACUCUAGAGAUAGAGCCUUCCCCUUCGGGGGACAAAGUGACAGGUGGUGCAUGGUUGUCGUCAGCUCGUGUCGUGAGAUGUUGGGUUAAGUCCCGCAACGAGCGCAACCCUUAAGCUUAGUUGCCAUCAUUAAGUUGGGCACUCUAAGUUGACUGCCGGUGACAAACCGGAGGAAGGUGGGGGAUGACGUCAAAUCAUCAUGCCCCUUAUGAUUUGGGCUACACACGUGCUACAAUGGACAAUACAAAGGGCAGCGAAACCGCGAGGUCAAGCAAAUCCCAUAAAGUUGUUCUCAGUUCGGAUUGUAGUCUGCAACUCGACUACAUGAAGCUGGAAUCGCUAGUAAUCGUAGAUCAGCAUGCUACGGUGAAUACGUUCCCGGGUCUUGUACACACCGCCCGUCACACCACGAGAGUUUGUAACACCCGAAGCCGGUGGAGUAACCUUUUAGGAGCUAGCCGUCGAAGGUGGGACAAAUGAUUGGGGUGAAGUCGUAACAAGGUAGCCGUAUCGGAAGGUGCGGCUGGAUCACCU
rnacentral:rRNA from 1 species